UCCUCACCCUCGAAGUCCCGAGGCCGCGGACCCCGCGGGCCUGGUCCACAUGCUCGUCUCUUCCCUCGGGGAGGCCCUGAAGCCCUGGACCCGCAGCCCUUCCUGGAGGGGUGCCGACCCACCUGGCUCCUCCUCCCCGAGGUGACAUGCUGGGGUUGGGUGAUGCGUUUCCUGCCACCGCAGACCCCAAGGUUUCGGAAGAGGGCCAAGGGGUGUCCAGCACGUCCCUGAUGCAGGCGCCCCACCCCACCCCAAGUCCCUGUGCGGUUCUCUCUGGAGCCUCCUCACCUGGGAGCUCAAUUCCCCUGGAAUGGGGACGGGGCGGGCAUAGGUUAUUCCCACCUUUGUUCAUGGGUAUGUUACCGGCCUUCCCUUCAAAUACCCAAGAAGGACUCACUUUCAUCGUACCUAACAGUCGUCCAUUCAGCGUCCCUCACCCUCCUCUAUAACAAACAAAAAAGGACAAGAAAGGAGCCUUCCAGCCCUCAUCCACACGCAGAGCAGCUACCUCGAAUACUCUGGCCAAGCAGUAAGAAGAUAGUCAUCUCUCCGUGAAUUCCACGACCUGGGGCCCUCCACCGGAUGCUGAACUUUCUUCCCCACCUGAGAGCCGCCUGACAGAGGCAAACUGAAGGCCACACCCCUGCUGGCUGCUGAUUCGCACUGAUCUCUGCUCCCAGGCUGCCAAUACCUGGUGUCAAAUUGUUGAUGUUUGUGCCAACAAUGCUACUUCUUGUCACUGCUGAAGCUGCUGGCUCCAAGGCUGUCAAUAUUUUACACUCUACUGCCCCCACACACUUGUGUUUUCCUAAAUGGGAGAAUGUUAUCUCAGUUUGCAAAAUCAGAGAACAAUAUUCUCUCCUGAGUAUCUGCUUUUAUUUUUUAUGAAUACUAUGAGCAUGCUACUGACUUUUCUUUUGGUGGACUGGCUUCUAGAAAAGCUCUUAGCUAAAUCUACUUGUAAUUCUAGAGGUGGAGAGGAUCUUAUGGCUUUUAUGUUUGUGUAUUACUUUUAAGUGACUUUUAGACUUUUAAUUUUAUGUUUUCACUUGUCUUUUCUUCAUUCACUACUGUAUUUAUUUUGGUAAGGUGACUAAACUUUUUUUUGGAAAUGGGAAAAUAUAAAUAAUUGAAUAAAAAUGACAAAAAUUUUUUAGAUUAAAAAAAUUUCCCCUUAUUAAAAUCCCUCUAUCUUAGGAAUCAGGACUGAAUUCAUGGUUGCUGUCUUCAUCAAUAUAGCUU